ACAACCCAAAUGUAGACAAAAUACAUGCAAGCAUAGAAAACAUACGGUGGACACACACAAACACAUAUAAAACCAUGCAGCGCUUCAUAGAAACACCCUUUAAGGUACACUCAAGCAGGCUGAGUGUAGAGGUGGAAAAUUACUGCUCUGAUCCGACCUCCUCAUGCACAAUCAAGACUCAAGCCGGGGUCUGCGCGAUCACACCAGAAGGUGACACCAGCCGGUGGUCAUUUCUCUCUCACUGACCGGUUCUGUGUUGGAACCACAACCACGCCAUCGCCACGCGACGUCCCGGGGCCAGAAAACCAGAAAAUGUGCCAUCCAGGGAGCUUCAGUAGGAGAGUGAGAAACAAUAAAAAAGAAGAUGAAGAGGACGAUAGUGAAGGAAGCAGCAACAGUUGCAGACAGUGCUCUCUCUCUCUCUCUCUUUUUUUUUCUCCAUGAGCUUUCUCUCAGGUAUGUUAAGAGGCAGCAUGCUGCUGCUAUUGCAGCAGCAGCAACAGCAGCAGUGUGUCUUUGGCUGACCUAUUUAGGUAAUUGCACUCUUCAUUAAAAAAA